rnacentral:rRNA from 1 species
AGCUCUCCGAGUGGUGUGGAUGUUUAUUGGGCCUAAAGCAUCCGUAGCUGGCUAAGUUAGUCCCUUGUUAAAUCCACCGAAUUAAUCGUUGGAUUGCGGGGGAUACUGCUUGGCUAGGGGGACGAGAGAGGCAGACGGUAUUUUUGGGGUAGGGGUGAAAUCCUAUAAUCCCAGGAAGACCACCAGUGGCGAAGGCUGUCUGCUAGAACGCGCCCGACGGUGAGGGAUGAAAGCUGGGGGAGCGAACC